AGUAAUGCCUAGGUAAAUUGCCCUGAUGUGGGGGAUAACCAUUGGAAACGAUGGCUAAUACCGCAUAAUGCCUUCGGGCCAAAGAGGGGGACCUUCGGGCCUCUCGCGUCAGGAUAUGCCUAGGUGGGAUUAGCUAGUUGGUGAGGUAAUGGCUCACCAAGGCGACGAUCCCUAGCUGGUCUGAGAGGAUGAUCAGCCACACUGGAACUGAGACACGGUCCAGACUCCUACGGGAGGCAGCAGUGGGGAAUAUUGCACAAUGGGCGCAAGCCUGAUGCAGCCAUGCCGCGUGUAUGAAGAAGGCCUUCGGGUUGUAAAGUACUUUCAGCAGUGAGGAAGGGGUGUACGUUAAUAGCGUGGCAUCC
rnacentral:rRNA from 1 species